GGAGGAUCCAAGCGUUAUCCGGAUUUAUUGGGUUUAAAGGGUGCGUAGGCGGUUUUAUAAGUUAGAGGUGAAAAUUCGGGGCUCAACUCCGGACGUGCCUCUAAUACUGUAUGACUAGAGAAUAGAUGCGGUAGGCGGAAUGUAUGGUGUAGCGGUGAAAUGCGUAGAGAUCAUACAGAACACCGAUUGCGAAGGCAGCUUACCAAACUAUAUCUGACGUUGAGGCACGAAAGCGUGGGGAGCAAAC
rnacentral:rRNA from 1 species